GACGUAGGGUGCGAGCGUUGUCCGGAUUUAUUGGGCGUAAAGAGCUCGUAGGCGGCUCGUCGCGUCGACCGUGAAAACCCGCGGCUUAACUGCGGGCUUGCGGUUGAUACGGGCGGGCUAGAGUUCGGUAGGGGAGACUGGAAUUCCUGGUGUAGCGGUGAAAUUCGUAGAUAUCGGGAGGAACACCGGUGGCGAAGGCGGCGACCUGGGUCGAGACUGACGCUGAGGCGCGAAAGCGUGGGGAGCAAACAGG
rnacentral:rRNA from 1 species